rnacentral:rRNA from 1 species
AUUGAACGCUGGCGGACUGCUUUACACAUGCAAGUCGAGCGGCAGCACGGGGGCAACCCUGGUGGCGAGCGGCGAACGGGUGAGUAAUACAUCGGAACAUGCCCAGUCGUGGGGGAUAACACUUCGAAAGAAGUGCUAAUACCGCAUACGUCCUGAGGGGGAAAGCGGGGGAUCGCAAGACCUCGCGCGAUUGGAGUGGCCGAUGUCAGAUUAGCUAGUUGGUGGGGUAAAGGCCUACCAAGGCAACGAUCUGUAGCUGGUCUGAGAGGAUGAUCAGCCACACUGGGACUGAGACACGGCCCAGACUCCUACGGGAUGCAGCAGUGGGGAAUUUUGGACAAUGGGGGCAACCCUGAUCCAGCCAUUCCGCGUGAGUGAAGAAGGCCUUCGGGUUGUAAAGCUCUUUCGGCAGGAACGAAACGGUGAGCUCUAACAUAGCUUGCUAAUGACGGUACCUGAAGAAGAAGCACGGGCUAGCUACGUG